rnacentral:rRNA from 1 species
UUAAGUUUCGGCCUUGCGACUAUACUUCCCAGGUAGCACACUCUUCGGCUUCCCUGCAGCACCAAUACCUCUCGAGGAGGUACUGAUGUUUAGUGUGCAGUGUUUACUGCCAGGAAUACACGGGUAUCUAAUCCGCUUGACGACCCUGGCCUUCAUCCCUCACUGUCGGAUCCGUUCUCGUAAGGUGCUUUCGCUCUUGUUAGUCCGUCCAAGCUUAACAUAUUUUACCAUUACUUUGGACGUACUCCUUACGUCUCCCGGUCCCUAGCUAAGUAGUUUCUUUUGCUCGCCUGACACUUAAGAUGCCAGAUUUCACAAAAGACUUACUUAACAAGCUACGGAUGUUUUAGACCCAAUAAUAGUGGCUGCAACUUGGACCGCUAGUAUUACCGCGGCGGCUGGCACUAGUCUCUCCCAGUCCUUAUUCAUGUACCUUUUUACAGUACAUAAAAGUCCUUCAAUAGAAGGACACUCUGGCUCACUCUGUCACACUUUCGUGCAUUGCAGAAGAUUCCUGACUGCUGCCCUCCAUAGAGGUGGGAGUAGUGUCUCAGACUCCCUCUCAGGGCCCCUCCGCUAAGAGCCCUUACGGAUCGUCGGCUUGGUGGGCUUUUAUCCCGCCAACAACCUAAUCCGCCGCAGCCUCAUCCUUAAGCGCGUGUUUAAGAGAUAUAUCAUUCCAGGGUAUAUCUCAUAUCAAGUAUUAUCCUCAGUUUCCCGAGGUUAUCCCUGACUUAAGGGUAGAUUAGCUACGUGUUACGGAACCGUUCGCUUUCCAAUGACGAAUCAAUGGAAGAACUCGCAUGCCUCAGUGCAAGCCAGAUAGCUGCAGCC